UAACAAAACUCACAUGGAUAAAAGAUUGAUGUAACAAUAAGGUAUGUGACAUGUAAAGAACUGAAGCAAGCUUAAUUUGGACGACGAGGUCGUCAGAUAUGAAGUCUUACUUCUAAAACAAAGAUGGAAUCAAGAGAAAACAGAAAUCUAUUUUACAUCAAAAGAGUAAUCAAUGUGGUACAAAAGGAACUUGCUCAAUUUUUCAUCAAAGAAUGGAACUCUCGUUACAAAUCAAUACAUGGAGAAUGGGAUGAUACACACAACAGUGGGAACAAAUUUUACACUUUAGAAUCAAGUAGAAAGUUAGAUAAAAACUACAUUAAAAUAUCAAGAUGGAGACACAAGUAAGUGGGACUGUACGACAUUAUU